rnacentral:rRNA from 1 species
UACAGAGGUCCCAAGCGUUGUUCGGAUUCAUUGGGCGUAAAGGGUGCGUAGGCGGUCUGACAAGUCUGAUGUGAAAUCUAUGGGCUCAACCCAUAGUCUGCAUCGGAAACUGUCGGGCUGGAGUAUGGGAGAGGUGAGUGGAAUUUCCGGUGUAGCGGUGAAAUGCGUAGAUAUCGGAAGGAACACCUGUGGCGAAAGCGGCUCACUGGACCAUUACUGACGCUGAUGCACGAAAGCUAGGGGAGCAAACAGG